rnacentral:rRNA from 1 species
CAGCCGCCACGGUAAUACGAAGGGUGCAAGCGUUAAUCGGAAUUACUGGGCGUAAAGCGUGCGUAGGCGGUGAGUUAAGUCUGCUGUGAAAUCCCCGGGCUCAACCUGGGAAUGGCAGUGGAUACUGGCUCGCUAGAGUGUGGGAGAGGAUGGUAGAAUUCCAGGUGUAGCGGUGAAAUGCGUAGAGAUCUGGAGGAAUACCGAUGGCGAAGGCAGCCAUCUGGCCUAACACUGACGCUGAGGUACGAAAGCAUGGGGAGCAAACAGGAUUAGAUACCCCCGUAGUCCCUGUCUCUUAUAC